GUACAUCCAGAGAAUUUAGCAGAGAUGCUUUAGUGCCUUCGGGAACUCUGAGACAGGUGCUGCAUGGCUGUCGUCAGCUCGUGUUGUGAAAUGUUGGGUUAAGUCCCGCAACGAGCGCAACCCUUAUCCUUUGUUGCCAGCACGUAAUGGUGGGAACUCAAAGGAGACUGCCGGUGAUAAACCGGAGGAAGGUGGGGAUGACGUCAAGUCAUCAUGGCCCUUACGAGUAGGGCUACACACGUGCUACAAUGGCGCAUACAAAGAGAAGCGACCUCGCGAGAGCAAGCGGACCUCAUAAAGUGCGUCGUAGUCCGGAUUGGAGUCUGCAACUCGACUCCAUGAAGUCGGAAUCGCUAGUAAUCGUAAAUCAGAAUGUUACGGUGAAUACGUUCCCGGGCCUUGUACACACCGCCCGUCACACCAUGGGAGUGGGUUGCAAAAGAAGUAGAUAGCUUAACCUUCGGGGAGGGCGUUUACCACUUUGUGAUUCAUGACUGGGGUGAAGUCGUAACAAGGUAAGCGUAGUGCU
rnacentral:rRNA from 1 species